rnacentral:rRNA from 1 species
UUAAGCGACUAAGCGUACACGGUGGAUGCCCUGGCAGUCAGAGGCGAUGAAGGACGUGCUAAUCUGCGAAAAGCGUCGGUAAGGUGAUAUGAACCGUUAUAACCGGCGAUGUCCGAAUGGGGAAACCCAGUGCAAUUCGUUGCACUAUCGUUUGAUGAAUACAUAGUCAAACGAGGCGAACCGGGGGAACUGAAACAUCUAAGUACCCCGAGGAAAAGAAAUCAACCGAGAUUCCCCCAGUAGCGGCGAGCGAACGGGGAGCAGCCCGGAGUCUGAAUCAGCUUGUGUGUUAGUGGAAGCGUCUGGAAAGUCGCAGGGUACAGGGUGAUACUCCCGUACACUAAAACACACAGGUUGUGAACUCGAAGAGUAGGGCGGGACACGUGGUAUCCUGUCUGAAUAUGGGGGGACCAUCCUCCAAGGCUAAAUACUCCUGACUGACCGAUAGUGAACCAGUACCGUGAGGGAAAGGCGAAAAGAACCCCGGCGAGGGGAGUGAAAAAGAACCUGAAACCGUGUACGUACAAGCAGUAGGAGCCCCACCACCAAAGCGUUUCGCUUUGCGUGGUGCGCAAAAUGCGUAACGACAGCAUGAUGGAGGGUUAACGGAGCGUCAGCGACGUUCAACCUCAAAAAUCAGGCAGUGGAGCGUUUUGGGGUGGGGUGACUGCGUACCUUUUGUAUAAUGGGUCAGCGACUUAUAUUCUGUAGCAAGGUUAACCGUAUAGGGGAGCCGCAGGGAAACCGAGUCUUAACUGGGCGUUAAGUUGCAGGGUAUAGACCCGAAACCCGGUGAUCUAGCCAUGGGCAGGUUGAAGGUUGGGUAACACUAACUGGAGGACCGAACCGACUAAUGUUGAAAAAUUAGCGGAUGACUUGUGGCUGGGGGUGAAAGGCCAAUCAAACCGGGAGAUAGCUGGUUCUCCCCGAAAGCUAUUUAGGUAGCGCCUCGUGAAUUCAUCUUCGGGGGUAGAGCACUGUUUCGGCUAGGGGGUCAUCCCGACUUACCAACCCGAUGCAAACUACGAAUACCGAAGAAUGUUAUCACGGGAGACACACGGCGGGUGCUAACGUCCGUCGUGAAGAGGGAAACAACCCAGACCGCCAGCUAAGGUCCCAAAGUCAUGGUUAAGUGGGAAACGAUGUGGGAAGGCCCAGACAGCCAGGAUGUUGGCUUAGAAGCAGCCAUCAUUUAAAGAAAGCGUAAUAGCUCACUGGUCGAGUCGGCCUGCGCGGAAGAUGUAACGGGGCUAAACCAUGCACCGAAGCUGCGGCAGCGACACUAUGUGUUGUUGGGUAGGGGAGCGUUCUGUAAGCCGUUGAAGGUGGCCUGUGAGGGUUGCUGGAGGUAUCAGAAGUGCGAAUGCUGACAUAAGUAACGAUAAUGCGGGUGAAAAACCCGCACGCCGGAAGACCAAGGGUUCCUGUCCAACGUUAAUCGGGGCAGGGUGAGUCGACCCCUAAGGCGAGGCCGAAAGGCGUAGUCGAUGGGAAACAGGUUAAUAUUCCUGUACUUGGUGUUACUGCGAAGGGGGACGGAGAAGGCUAUGUUGGCCGGGCGACGGUUGUCCCGGUUUAAGCAUGUAGGCGGAUGUUCCAGGUAAAUCCGGAACGUCAUUAACGCUGAGGUGUGAUGACGAGGCACUACGGUGCUGAAGUGACAAAUGCCCUGCUUCCAGGAAAAGCCUCUAAGCAUCAGGUAACAUCAAAUCGUACCCCAAACCGACACAGGUGGUCAGGUAGAGAAUACCAAGGCGCUUGAGAGAACUCGGGUGAAGGAACUAGGCAAAAUGGUGCCGUAACUUCGGGAGAAGGCACGCUGAUGGUAGGUGAAGCGACUUGCUCGUGGAGCUGAAAUCAGUCGAAGAUACCAGCUGGCUGCAACUGUUUAUUAAAAACACAGCACUGUGCAAACACGAAAGUGGACGUAUACGGUGUGACGCCUGCCCGGUGCCGGAAGGUUAAUUGAUGGGGUUAUCCUCGCGGAGAAGCUCUUGAUCGAAGCCCCGGUAAACGGCGGCCGUAACUAUAACGGUCCUAAGGUAGCGAAAUUCCUUGUCGGGUAAGUUCCGACCUGCACGAAUGGCGUAAUGAUGGCCAGGCUGUCUCCACCCGAGACUCAGUGAAAUUGAACUCGCUGUGAAGAUGCAGUGUACCCGCGGCAAGACGGAAAGACCCCGUGAACCUUUACUAUAGCUUGACACUGAACACUGGUCCUUGAUGUGUAGGAUAGGUGGGAGGCUUUGAAGUGUGGACGCCAGUCUGCAUGGAGCCAUCCUUGAAAUACCACCCUUUAAUGGCUGGUGUUCUAACGUGGGCCCGUAAUCCGGGUUGCGGACAGUGUCUGGUGGGUAGUUUGACUGGGGCGGUCUCCUCCUAAAGAGUAACGGAGGAGCACGAAGGUCAGCUAAUCCUGGUCGGACAUCAGGAGGUUAGUGCAAUGGCAUAAGCUGGCUUGACUGCGAGCGUGACGGCGCGAGCAGGUGCGAAAGCAGGUCAUAGUGAUCCGGUGGUUCUGAAUGGAAGGGCCAUCGCUCAACGGAUAAAAGGUACUCCGGGGAUAACAGGCUGAUACCGCCCAAGAGUUCAUAUCGACGGCGGUGUUUGGCACCUCGAUGUCGGCUCAUCACAUCCUGGGGCUGAAGUAGGUCCCAAGGGUAUGGCUGUUCGCCAUUUAAAGUGGUACGCGAGCUGGGUUUAGAACGUCGUGAGACAGUUCGGUCCCUAUCUGCCGUGGGCGCUGGAGAAUUGAGGGGGGCUGCUCCUAGUACGAGAGGACCGGAGUGGACGCAUCACUGGUGUUCGGGUUGUCAUGCCAAUGGCAUUGCCCGGUAGCUAAAUGCGGAAGAGAUAAGUGCUGAAAGCAUCUAAGCACGAAACUUGCCCCGAGAUGAGUUCUCCCUGACUCCUUGAGAGUCCUGAAGGAACGUUGAAGACGACGACGUUGAUAGGCCGGGUGUGUAAGCGCAGCGAUGCGUUGAGCUAACCGGUACUAAUGAACCGUGAGGCUUAACCUU